CUGGGGGCAACUCCAGGCAGCGGCGGACGGGUGCGUAACACGUGGAUAAUCUGCCCUAGAGACGGGGAUAACCAGCCGAAAGGUUAGCUAAUACCCGGUAAGCUCACGGACCCGAAGGGGUCAGGGAGAAAAGUCGCAAGACGCUCUAGGAUGAGUCCGCGGCCCAUCAGGUAGUUGGCGGGGUAAAGGCCCACCAAGCCUACGACGGGUAGCUGGUCUGAGAGGACGACCAGCCACACUGGAACUGAGACACGGUCCAGACUCCUACGGGAGGCAGCAGUGGGGAAUCUUGCGCAAUGGGCGAAAGCCUGACGCAGCGACGCCGCGUGUGCGAUGAAGGUCUUCGGAUCGUAAAGCACUGUCGCCCGGGAAAAAGAAAGUGAUGGUACCGGGAGAGGAAGCACCGGCUAACUCUGUGCCAGCAGCCGCGGUAAUACAGAGGGUGCGAGCGUUGUUCGGAAUUAUUGGGCGUAAAGCGCUUGUAGGCGGCGCAGCAAGUCGCGUGUGAAAGCCCUCGGCUCAACCGAGGAAGUGCGCGCGAAACUGCUGUGCUUGAGUGCCGGAGAGGGUGGCGGAAUUCCCGGUGUAGAGGUGAAAUUCGUAGAUAUCGGGAGGAACACCAGAGGCGAAGGCGGCCACCUGGAAGGUAACUGACGCUGAGAAGCGAAAGCGUGGGGAGCAAACAGGAUUAGAUACCCUGGUAGUCCACGCCGUAAACGAUGGAUGCUAGCUGUGGUGGGUAUUGACCCCCGCCGUGGCGA
rnacentral:rRNA from 1 species